UGAAAGAAGGAUAGUGACUUUUGUUCAUCCCUUGUAUGGAGUAUCUCAUGCGAUAUAAGGUACAUUAGACCGAUAGAUGCAGGGGCCCACAAAUGACUGUUCGCCUGGAGCCCACAAAGGGCUAAGUUCGCCACUGUGCAUCAGGCUAAACGGAUUAGUGUUAUUUAGCCUGUCGAAAGGCCGAUGGGCCACAGGUUAAGCCAAACUGUAUUUUGUGUUUAUGUCUGGUCUGUGACCAACUUAUUAUAUUAAUUUCAUUCUAUGUUUAAACACUGGUAAUUUUGGCCCCCUGUGUGUCUGAGUAAAUCGCCACCGGUAGAGCUCAUGGGACCUAUGAGAUCAAAAAAUAUGAAUGUGCUCAGUAGUCACUUUGUUAAAUUACUCAUUUUGAUAGCUCCUUUUAUACAAUUGCAUAUCUUUUCAGCAGGUGAAGUAAAAGUUCAAAUCAGUGUCAGCCUUAAAUAAGCACUGCUUACGUAGCCUUUUUUAUUGUUGUAGGGGGAUAGAGGUGGAAGUGGUACUCUGGAGGGAGGCCAACCUCACACAGUUAGAGGUUGGCCUCCUUAUAAGAGUUACCCAUGCGCGGCGAAAAGGAGCAACUGGGGACUGAGCCUCCAUUCAACAGGGCACACUUGAGUGGAAGUGAGUCAAUGACAAUAGGCUAUACAUUGUAUUGAUUGUAAAGCAUUUAGGUGUAAAUUUUUUAUUCUGCAUCCAACAGGCGCGUCCAAGCAAAAACAAAUAUAUUAAUUUCCUGUAGGUUAUCAAUGGAGACAAGGAGGUCCAGGUCAUGAGGUUGGCCUCCCUAUGAGCGCGAUGCAUAUGCGGGCCAGGAGGAGCAGCUAGGGUCUCUCCUCCAGUCAACGAGACACGCUCGUUUGUCCAGGUCGUAGAGUUCAGGACCCUCCCAGACAGGGAGAAGGAGGUCCUGGACCCCUUUGACAUUGAUACGUUAAAACAAUGUUAACGAGACCUCUAACAGUCGCAUACAUCACUGUCCCUGUUAAGAUUGUGACUUUAAUAGAGCAAAAGAGGGUCCAGGAGAGGCAAAUGACAGCAAAGGAUGCAUUGGCUGGCACCACAAAUACUAACGUCGUCGCUGGGGUGUCGGAUGGGAAAAGGGCAACUAAAUUCUUUGUAUUUGAAGAAUUGGCAAAGGGGAUAGAGAAGGUCGAGCAAUUACGGGGACAUCACAGUGAUGCUCACAAGACAUCAGACAGAGUCGCCUACAUCACUGCCCCUGUACAAGUCCCCGCCCACCUGGAGGCAGAGGCCCGGGACUUGGUAUGUCCCGGGUCAAUGCUAAUCAGUCUGUCGUAGCUUGGCAUCUCCCAGGGAGGCAACUUCAAACCAUUAGAGGUUGGCCUCCCUAUAUAAGAGUUACACAUAUGCGGCCCAGAAGGAGCAGCUAGGGUCUCUCCUCCAGUCAACGAGACACACUUGUUUGUCCAGGUCGUAGGGUUCAGGACCCUCCCAGACGGGGAGAGGGGGUCUAUUUUAUGUAUCAAAGAAAGAUAUUGGGAUUAUUAAAAGGCAUGAAGCACUGAACCAUGCACAAAAAGGUUAAAAUCAAGCAGUUACCAAACAAGUAUUAACUAUAUAUACUUUACAUCAGGGCUUCAACAUCAAAUCAAUUGUUAAAUUGGUGUUGGCAAUGAAUUUCAUUAUCCAUCCAUUAAAUGAUUUGGUGAGAUGUUUUUCACAAUGGUCACUCAUAGCCAGAGCACUUAAAAUGUACACCAGCAGCAGGUGGGUGGGGUGGGGUGCCACUUUAGACGCCACACCGUCUCACUGAUGGGCUGAUGCAUGCUCCUAGAAAUGCAAUUCCUGAAGGUAUUGAUUGGUAUUGUUACUUUGUAGAAUUUGAAUAUUUAUUACGCUCAGUAAUAACGAUUGAUUCAGCAAAGCAUAGUGUCCUACUCCCACCUCCCAACAUCCUGCACAACUGGAGUUGUCUGGCUUUUUUAAAAUCCAACAAAUAUCUCCAUAGUCUUUUUCUCUAAAUAACUCAUGUCUUGGGCUACUUUCAGGUUUGUUUCACGCUGUUCAUCUGUUGUUUCAGCACACCACACUUGACCAUUGGCUGUAUUUUCAGAAAAUGUCUUUCAACAAGAGGACCAAUGAGAGGCUAGACUCGAUCAAAGUGAUGCUCACAAGACAUCAGACAGUCGCCUACAUCACUGCCCCUGUACAAGUCCCCGCCCACCUGGAGGCAGAGGCCCGGGACUUGGUAUGUCCCGGGUCAAUGCUAAUCAGUCUGUCGUAGCUUGGUAUCUCCCGGGAGGCCAACCUCACAGUUGGCCUCCCUAUAAGCGCUAUGCAUAUGCGGGCCACAAGGACUGUUCAUCUGUUCUGUUUCAGCACACCACACUUAGCCAAUGGUUGUAUAACGCGUCACUACGUAGCGUUCAUAGCUAUGUUGACAAGCAAACCACACACAAAACCGCCCACAUUCCUAUGCGGAGAACAGCCCGAUCUGGCAACACAGACCUUGUCAUCAUCUCUGUAGCCGGCUGAGUCAAACACGCUAUGAUAUUUGCUUCGUUCAUCACCAGCCAAAUUGGCUGGCGACUUUACAAUCUUACACGCAAAAGUUAUUUUCUACCUGCAUCUGGUGGGUUGGCAGGUGUUAAUUUUAAGCUCUUGCUAUGAGUGACCAUUGUGACUGUGUGCGUGGUUCAGUGUGUUGGUAACUGUGCUUUGUGUGUUGGUAACUGCUUCGUGUCUUUUAAUACUGCUGCCUCAGCACUACACUUCCAGACGGUCUGUCCAAAGGCUGCAUCCCACAUGGCCGGUGGAACUACGUGCUCUUUAGCACAGGGGUCCAGGACCUCCUUGUCCCCGUCUGGGAGGGUCCUGAACCCCACGGCCUGGACCCCCUUGGGGGAGGGGGGAAUUAAUUUGGCCUUUUCAAAUUGAAAUAAUAAAUGGAAAGGCAUGGCUUGGACAAUCUCUCCAAAGGCUAAUGCCUCCUUUGCUGUCAUUUAAUAACUGGAGGAGAGACCCUAGCUGCUCCUUCUGGCCCGCAUAUGCAUGGCGCUUAUAGGGAGGCCAACCUCUAGCUGUGAGGUUGGCCUCCCGGGAGAUACCAAGGCCCGGGUCUCUGCCUCCAGGUGGGGGCGGGGACUUGUACAGGGUCAGUGAUGCAUGUUUCUGUUGUAUGUUGUUUCAUGUUUUGUUGGUUUUAAUAAAUCCAGUUUUCUGACUAAA